rnacentral:rRNA from 1 species
UGACAUCCGGAUGAGGAGUGAGCAAAGUCACUUUCCUUUCGGGGCAUUGGAGACAGGUGGUGCAUGGUUGUCGUCAGCUCGUGUCGUGAGAUGUUGGGUUAAGUCCCGCAACGAGCGCAACCCCUAUUUCCAGUAGCCAGCAGGUAGAGCUGGGCACUCUGGAGAGACUGCCCGGGAUAACCGGGAGGAAGGCGGGGAUGACGUCAAAUCAUCAUGCCCCUUAUGAUCAGGGCUACACACGUGCUACAAUGGCGUAAACAAAGGGAAGCGAGACGGUGACGUUAAGCAAAUCCCAAAAAUAACGUCCCAGUUCGGAUUGUAGUCUGCAACUCGACUACAUGAAGCUGGAAUCGCUAGUAAUCGCGAAUCAGAAUGUCGCGGUGAAUACGUUCCCGGGUCUUGUACACACCGCCCGUCACACCAUGGGAGUCGGAAAUGCCCGAAGUCAGUGACCUAACCGAAAGGAAGGAGCUGCCGAAGGUGGAGCCGGUAACUGGGGUGAAGUCGUAGCAAGGUAGCCGU